CCUACGGGAGGCAGCAGUGAGGAAUAUUGGUCAAUGGGCGCGAGCCUGAACCAGCCAAGUCGCGUGAGGGAUGAAGGUUCUAUGGAUCGUAAACCUCUUUUAUAAGGGAAUAAAGUGUGGGACGUGUCCUAUUUUGUAUGUACCUUAUGAAUAAGGAUCGGCUAACUCCGUGCCAGCAGCCGCGGUAAUACGGAGGAUCCGAGCGUUAUCCGGAUUUAUUGGGUUUAAAGGGUGCGUAGGCGGCCUUUUAAGUCAGCGGUGAAAGUCUGUGGCUCAACCAUAGAAUUGCCGUUGAAACUGGAAGACUUGAGUGUGUUUGAGGUAGGCGGAAUGCGUGGUGUAGCGGUGAAAUGCAUAGAUAUCACGCAGAACUCCGAUUGCGAAGGCAGCUUACUAAGCCAUAACUGACACUGAAGCACGAAAGCGUGGGGAUCAAACAGGAUUAGAUACCCUAGUAGUC
rnacentral:rRNA from 1 species